GUGCCAGACUCCUACGGGAGGCAGCAGUGGGGAAUAUUGCACAAUGGGGGAAACCCUGAUGCAGCGACGCCGCGUGGAGGAAGAAGGUCUUCGGAUUGUAAACUCCUGUCCUUGGGGACGAUAAUGACGGUACCCAAGGAGGAAGCACCGGCUAACUACGUGCCAGCAGCCGCGGUAAAACGUAGGGUGCAAGCGUUGUCCGGAAUUACUGGGUGUAAAGGGGGCGCAGACGGCCAUGGCAAGCCCGGUGUGAAAGGCAGGGGCAUAACCCCUGGACUGCACUGGGAACUGUCAGGCUGGAGUGCCGGAGGGGUAAGCGGAAUUCCUGGUGUAGCGGUGAAAUGCGUAGAUAUCAGGAGGAACACCGGCGGCGAAGGCGGCUUACUGGACGGCAACUGACGUUGAGGCCCGAAAGCGUGGGGAGCGAACAGGAUUAGAUACCCCCGUAU
rnacentral:rRNA from 1 species